CAAGAAGAUGGAAGGACACUUAGAGCAAAUAAGGAGAAACUUAGGAUUGCCAACCAUUGAGGAUGAAGACUAAUUUGUGGGUGAGGAAGUGGAAGAACAAGAAAAAGAGGUCCCAGUGUCAAGUGAAAUUUCUAUGAAGAAUAAGGUUGUGGAGAAUGAAAUUGAACC